CAAUUCAGUUCUAACAUUGAUAAGCCAGAUGGGGGAAAGGUAUGGGGGAAUUAUCCAAGAAUUGAGGGAAAGUUUGCCCUGAUGUUUAUACUUCCAUAUCUACCCAACUGUUUGAAAGAUGAGCAAAUCAAUUUCUUGGCAUAACAGGUGCCAAUUUACAGGACCCAUAAGGAGUGCAUGGAUGGUGGCCAAAGAGAGUGUUUGCCCAAGAUAAAGUUGCUCAGCUUUUCAAAAGUAAAUGCAAGAUGAAAAUUUUCACUUUGAGAAUUUUCUUCCAAGAUGGAGGUAAGAGUUGCUAACCACACCACAGGAAUCCAAAGAUCUUCCUACUCCCUGGUCAUGAUGAAUGGAGAGCACCAUGAAAAAGCAUCAGAAAUCUAUUUUGGUUUCAACUGCAUGAUUCAUUUUGUUCCUUAUUUGCUACACAAAAUAAAUUGCAAUAAAAUCCAAUGUUUCUGAUAUUUCAUUAACUAAAGUUAUUUGGUUUUUUGGGGGGGGAUUUUUAAUUCUUUCUGUAGCAAUCACUUCUUCCAGGGAGACCACUAAGAGACUUAAUAUCACACAGUGGUAUCUUAACAUUUUCUCAAUCCAUUAAGUAUACACAUGAAACACUUUAAAUGAAUGAGCGCUAAGCAUUAUGAGCCUUUGAAAUGACAUCAAAUCCUCAAAAUGAUUGUAUUCUUCCAGGGAAAUACCAUAGUGCUCCUUCAGUUUCUUCUUAGUAA
rnacentral:lncRNA from 1 species